rnacentral:tRNA from 1 species
GCUGGGGAUAUAGCUCAGUUGGUGGUGGAGUGCUUGCCUUGCAUGCUCAAGGCCCUGGGUUCACCCAGCCUCAGCA